rnacentral:rRNA from 1 species
UACGUAGGGGGCUAGCGUUGUCCGGAAUCAUUGGGCGUAAAGAGCGUGUAGGCGGUCCGGUAAGUCCGCUGUGAAAGUCGGGGGCUCAACCCUCGAAUGCCGGUGGAUACUGUCGGGCUAGAGUGCGGAAGAGGCGAGUGGAAUUCCGGGUGUAGCGGUGGAAUGCGUAGAGAUCCGGAAGAACACCGGUGGCGAAGGCGGCCUGCUGGGCAGUUUAGCUGACACUGAGGCGCGACAGCGUGGGGAGCAAACAGG